GCCACAGCAGACUAGGUAACAGGAGAAUAUUGUACACCACUUACUUUAUAAUAUAGGUAGAAAGUUGAAAAUACAACAUUAUCAAAAAUAAAGACAUUUUAUCUACAAAAAAUAUCACUGGAGUAGCUCCUCUUCACCUUUUGGUUAAAAGUUGUUACCUAUAGUAAGCCUAUACACAAAUUUGUCAUUAUAAAAUUUUACAAUACAAAGCUCAUUUUGGGGAUAUUUGGUAUGAGUUUCUCACAAUCAUAUAGUACAAUAAUUUACAUACAAAUAAUAUUAUAGUAAUAUAAAAAAUUACCAAGACUUGUUCCAAAAAUUGAACAAAUUAUCUCUCAAUACUUUAUAUUUCUCACCUGGUUUCAAAGGGAACUUUAUGUUACCCACUCUAAUGUGACCUGCUUUAAUUAGGUCUUUCCACUUUUCUGUGGAAAGACCUAUUGUUUUUCUUCUGAUUAUUUUUUUUUUUUUUUCUUCCGCCUAAUUUUGUUCUUGCGAUAAACAUUUGUUUCGCAAUAUGUCGCUUAAAUAUUUUGUAUAUGAUAUCGAACCGUUUAUGUGCUUUUGAAAUUUACCCUGCGUAAACGAAUACUUUUCUUUGUAGGAGUUAUCUCCCCAAACACUGUUUUCCUUGUUAUCGCAUCUCCUUCGCAACCGUAAAAGAUUAUGACAAAUUUAUUUUACAAAAUUGCUCGUUAUAUCCUUCGCAUGAUUUGUCCUAUUUUGACCGAAGUGAUAUGACCGCUCCAUAUGAGAGUUAUUUCCCCUUAUGCAUCUGAUAUCAGUGAUAUGAAUUUCUAUCUUAUAAAUCAUAAGUGAUAGAGACCUAGGAUCUUUUGAUUUGAGGUCCUUGGUCCCAAAAAAUGAAAAUUAGGUCAAGGUCAAAGGUCAAGGUCAUAUUCUAAUAUUUGAAUUUGGC
rnacentral:lncRNA from 1 species